rnacentral:lncRNA from 10 species
GCCAGGUGCGGGAAAUAAUCUCGUGGUGCGCCGUUUUUGAAGCCGGUCUGAAAAGCACAGUAUUCAGAUGGCUUCAGGAUGCUGAUGCUUUCACUGAGAACACCAAUGCCUAAACUCUUUGUUGGACCAAGGCAGUAUUACUGAUGAUGAAUCCCUCUUUCAGACUGCUGCAGAUGCUUGUACUUAGAGUACUUAACCUGCAUAUAAGGCACUGGACUCUGAAAAAGGGGAAUUGAUUGGGUGUAUUACUGUGGAAGUCCAAACUUGGUAAAAAAGACACUGAGAUAUCUUGAGUUGGAAUCAUUCCAUUACAGAGGUCUGACAGAGAUACUAGCUGGGUCAACUGUCCUUUUCCUCUGUGAUUUCAUAGUAUAUUCCCCAAACUCUAGUUGG